CCUGAAGCUUACUUGAUGAAGGAGAGAGCAGAACAAAGGGAUUUGUUCUUGGGGACAACUAGAAUCUGUCAUGGAUUGACUUAAGGAGAAUUUUAUUCUCCCAGUGAUAUUUGAUGGAAUAUUGAU